GACGAACGCUGGCGGCGUGCCUAACACAUGCAAGUCGAACGCAGUGGGGACGGGUGAGUAACACGUGGGUAACCUCCCAUCAGAGGGGAUAACACUUGGAAACAGGCGCUAAACCGAUACUGUUGGAUGUACCCGCGGUGCAUUAGCUAGUUGGUGAGGUAACGGCUCACCAAGGCCACGAUGAAUAGCCGGCCUGAGAGGGUGAUCGGCCACACUGGAACUGAGACACGGCCCAGACUCCUACGGGAGGCAGCAGUGGGGAAUAUUGCACAAUGGGCGCAAGCCUGAUGCCGCCAUGCCGCGUGUAUGAAGAAGGCCUUCGGGUUGUAAAGUACUUUCAGCGGGGAGGCGUUACUCGCAGAAGAAGCACCGGCUAACUCCGUGCCAGCAGCCGCGGUAAUAC
rnacentral:rRNA from 1 species